rnacentral:misc_RNA from 1 species
GUGAAUCAUCGAAUCUUUGAACGCAAAUUGCACUCCCUGGUAUUCCGGGGAGUAUGCCUGUUUGGGGGUCAUUAGAAUAAAAAAUCGAGACGUCUCUUUUUUUUUAAGGGUAGUCGUGUCUGAGUUGAGUCGUGUUUUAUAUUUUUAUUCAUGUAAAAAUUGCUUUAAAUUUAUCCAUCCGGUACGAUUAAGCGUAUUUAAUCUCAAGAACGCGCGAUGACGUACAAUCUCAUGUUGUAC